GAUGAACGCUGGCGGCGUGCUUAACACAUGCAAGUCGAACGAUGAAGCCCAGCUUGCUGGGUGGAUUAGUGGCGAACGGGUGAGUAACACGUGAGUAACCUGCCCCCGACUCUGGGAUAAGCCCGGGAAACUGGGUCUAAUACCGGAUAUUACCUUUGACCGCAUGGUUGUUGGUGGAAAGAUUUAUCGGUGGGGGAUGGACUCGCGGCCUAUCAGCUUGUUGGUGAGGUAAUGGCUCACCAAGGCGACGACGGGUAGCCGGCCUGAGAGGGUGACCGGCCACACUGGGACUGAGACACGGCCCAGACUCCUACGGGAGGCAGCAGUGGGGAAUAUUGCACAAUGGGCGAAAGCCUGAUGCAGCGACGCCGCGUGAGGGAUGACGGCCUUCGGGUUGUAAACCUCUUUCAGUAGGGAAGAAGCGAAAGUGACGGUACCUGCAGAAGAAGCGCCGGCUAACUACGUGCCAGCAGCCGCGGUAAUACGUAGGGCGCAAGCGUUAUCCGGAUUUAUUGGGCGUAAAGAGCUCGUAGGCGGUUUGUCGCGUCUGCCGUGAAAGUCCGAGGCUCAACCUCGGAUCUGCGGUGGGUACGGGCAGACUAGAGUGAUGUAGGGGAGACUGGAAUUCCUGGUGUAGCGGUGAAAUGCGCAGAUAUCAGGAGGAACACCGAUGGCGAAGGCAGGUCUCUGGGCAUUUACUGACGCUGAGGAGCGAAAGCAUGGGGAGCGAACAGGAUUAGAUACCCUGGUAGUCCAUGCCGUAAACGUUGGGCACUAGGUGUGGGGGACAUUCCACGUUUUCCGCGCCGUAGCUAACGCAUUAAGUGCCCCGCCUGGGGAGUACGGCCGCAAGGCUAAAACUCAAAGGAAUUGACGGGGGCCCGCACAAGCGGCGGAGCAUGCGGAUUAAUUCGAUGCAACGCGAAGAACCUUACCAAGGCUUGACAUGUGCCAGACCGCCUCAGAGAUGGGGUUUCCCUUCGGGGCUGGUUCACAGGUGGUGCAUGGUUGUCGUCAGCUCGUGUCGUGAGAUGUUGGGUUAAGUCCCGCAGCGAGCGCAACCCUCGUUCCAUGUUGCCAGCACGUAAAGGUGGGGACUCAUGGGAGACUGCCGGGGUCAACUCGGAGGAAGGUGGGGAUGACGUCAAAUCAUCAUGCCCCUUAUGUCUUGGGCUUCACGCAUGCUACAAUGGCCGGUACAAUGGGUUGCGAUACUGUGAGGUGGAGCUAAUCCCUAAAAGCCGGUCUCAGUUCGGAUUGGGGUCUGCAACUCGACCCCAUGAAGUCGGAGUCGCUAGUAAUCGCAGAUCAGCAACGCUGCGGUGAAUACGUUCCCGGGCCU
rnacentral:rRNA from 1 species